GGCUAACCUGCCCUUAGAUCAGGGAUAACCUCGGGAAACUGAGGAUAAUACCUGGUAGGAAAUUAUUUCUGGAAUGAGUUUUUUCUGAAACGUAAGGUCUAAGGAUGGGGCUGCGGCUGAUUAGGUAGUUGUUGGUGUAAAAGACUAACAAGCCGAUGAUCAGUAAGGGCUCUUAGCGGAGAGGCCCUGAGAAGGAAUCUUAGACACUAUUCCUAGCUCCACGGGGUGCAGCAGUCGAGGAAAUUUUACAAUGCUCGCAAGAGUGAUAAAAUAAGCCAGAGUGUCUCGUUCUACGAGACUUUUGCUUGCUGCAAAAAGGCAGGCGAAUAAGGACUGGGCAAGACCGGUGCCAGCCGCCGCGGUAAUACCGGCGGUCCAAGUCGCAUCCACAAUUAUUGGGUCUAAAACAUCCGUAGCUUGCGCUGUAAGUCUCUUGUGAAAUCUGACAUCUCAAGUGUCAGGCGUGCAAGAGAUACUGCGACGCUAGAGACCGGAAGACGUAAGGAGUACGAUUGAGGUAGCGGUAAAAUGUGUU
rnacentral:rRNA from 1 species